AGGGGGUGAGCUCUCCGCAGGCAGGAGGUGGGCUUGCGCCAAGCAGACAGCUGCAGACAGGUAUCCCAGGCAGAGGGAGCGGCAAGACAGCGCCUGCUGUUUCCAAAGAAGUCAAACAGGAUGGGUCCCCAGAAGUGGAGUGACAGGCGGCAGUCAUUCUGGCAAACACCUCUGUCCAGGCUAUGCCACGUGAGGGCCCCAGCAGCGCGCAGACAGCAGGCUGUGAGGGCAGAUCAGCCCUAAAGCAGGGAGUUCCUGAUGGCUACGCGUGGAGGGGAACCGCAGAACUGCCAGAGCGCCCACGUUCCUGAGCCCCAGGGAGGCACGGACCCAGGAGGAAGGAACGGGAAAGGCCAUGCCACCUGUUCAGCAAACCACGGAGCCAGGGCCCCUCCCUUUGACCGGAGUCCCGGCGGGGUGCAGGCAUGGCCACGGGCCCGGGCUGCUGCUGCCCACAGUUGCCUGCAAGCUCCACAGAUGGGGAGGUUUCCAGACCCUGAGGACGGUGCACAGCUCGAUCCGGAACUGGGCGGCCCCAGCGUCGGCACGCGCAGCACAGCCCACGAGCUCCCUGUGGCCCCAGGCGUGACCUGUGUCACUGCAGCCUUGCCCACUCGGCACCCUGGGCUUGUGUGCUUUUAGUGUCCCCGCUUCCUGGUGUUGCUACGCGCUUGUUUCCUGCAGAACUUGUGCACUCAGGAUACCAGUCUCCUCUUCAUGGUCCCCUGGCAACGCGAGGGGGCCGUGGGCUGUAGACACCCGCGUGCAGCUGGUGGUCUUGGGCCUGUGCUAGGGCAGACACUUUACGCAGUUUAGUGUUUCCUGCUGUUAUUUUUAU
rnacentral:lncRNA from 1 species